rnacentral:Y_RNA from 1 species
GGUUGGUCUGAUGGUAGUGGGUUAUCAGAACUUAUUAACAUUAGUGUCACUAAAUUGGCGUUUAGUCCCCCUGUGCUAAAUUUGACUGCCAAAA